rnacentral:lncRNA from 1 species
GUGGCAGGUCAGGAGAAUCUCCAGUCUGAGGUAAUGAGAUCCGAAAGGUGACGUGAGGAGCCAAGACUGAAGGUAUUCAAGAGAGAGAGACACUACUGAGCUGGGCUGUCUGAGGAGGUGACAAAUGACUUCAGACCUGAAUGACAGUUUAGAAGUUCCUGAAGAAGUGGAGCGUGCCAGCUGGGGGUGCAGCUCGGUGGCCAUGUGACCUAAGGAGCUCUGUUCUAGAUGUUUACCCGGAAGAAAUGGAAACAUCUGCAGAAAUCCACACACGCAUUCCUACAUCUGCCGGAAGAGCUACAAGGUGGGCGCUCGCAGACUCUUCUGUGUAUGCAGUGGAAAAGAGUUCACGCCAGAGCAUGGACUGCUUCUAAACUACGCAAGGGAGAGAGGCAGACACUAAGGCACUAGGCACAGAAAGUCACAUAUCCUAGGACUGCCUCCGCCACCACCUCCCCCGACCUCCACCCCACCCCCACCCUCAUCAACGCAUCCUUCAUACCUCCCAGGGCAGAGGACAGAACCCAGGGCCUUGAACAUACUAGGCAAGUUUUGUUUUGUUUUGUUUUGUUUUUUGAGACAGUUUUUCUGUGUUGCUAGCCCUGGUGGUCUUUGAACUCCAUAAAACAGGUUGGUCUCAAAUUCACAGAGAUCCUCCUGCCUCUGCCUCCUGAGUACUGGGAUUAAAGAUGUGUGCUACCACCA